GGUCGUGUGGCCCAAUGGCAAGGCGCUUGACUACGAUAUUUCCUGUCCAUCAAGAGAUUCCAGUAUGCAUCACCCACAUGCCUCAUACGUCUUUACAGCUCAUUCUAACGAUUCAAUAGGGUUCGACCCCUGGCACGAUCA